ensembl:lncRNA
GAGAAAGGUUGUGUGCAUGUGUGUGUCUGUGUGCAUUGUUAAAGUUGAAGGAGGUGCGUCGGGAGGUGGAGCUCUCUCGGAGGCGCAGUCUGAAGCUGAAGGCUCAGGUGGAUAAACUACAGGAGAACAGAGAGGGAACGGGAUGGAGUCAACACAGAGCGAAGGUUACAGAGGAGGUUCACUCCAUUCUGAGGUUGUUGCUUCCUUUGACAGGAUCCAGCCCAGUAGAACCGUCUGGUCAGGAGAACAGUCUGGAUACAGCACUGGUUCUGCUGCAGAACGUGGCACGCAAACUAGCAUUGAACCACACAGCACAGGAUUCCAAGUCCGGGGGUCGUAGAGAAAAUGAUGUGGAUGGCAGUGCUGUUCUACAACAGGCACUACAGGACAGAGACGAUGCCUUGGAGAAGAAGAAGGCCAUGGAGGCGGAGCUUCUUCGCAGUAAGACAGAGAUGAUGUUACUUAACAACCAGCUGCUGGAGGCCGUGCAGAAAAGACUGGAGCUCGCUUUGGAAGUAGAGGACUGGAAGGACGAUGUCCAGAUGAUCCUCCAGCAACAGCUCCGGAGCCAGCAACAACAGGCAGCAGAACAAGCCCAGAGGAAGCCGUCCCGUCUGGGGCUGCUGAGGAGGACCAACAGACCCCCCCUCCAGAGGCCAGCCUCUACCCCCUUGACCUACACCACUGGACAGGUUCCCGUUAGUACCCGCGUCCCUUCCCCCUCUCCCACCCCCCAAUGUACCCCUGUCACCUGGAGGGACAGGCUGAAAAGGGGGAAGGUGGGUCGUCAUAGUGGCCAGGAUGCAGAGCAGGCAUUGCAGGCAUCGCGGUCGUCGAGCGGCAGCAGACUGGAGGAGGGGUUUCAUACCAUAGACUUAUAAUAACACAUCAUACACAAAAUGAUAUGCAUUUAAGGGAGGGAUACAACUCAUAUCUAUGUACUGUAUUUACUGGUAGCUACUUUAUCAAUCUUUCUAACUGUGGAUUCUUACUGGGAGAGAUACAUUGAGCUGAUAGUUAGAUACAGAAUCACAAGCAGAUUCAUUCUCCAAUCUACUAGUACUGUGCACCGCUCUGAUCUGUUUGGCUUUAGGAAAAUAUUUUUCAGAGAAUUAUGUCUAUUGGUGCCUGGAUACUACAUUUAGGUUGGAGAUUUUCCCUCCAACUCUAGGCAUACAUUUUCUAUUGUAAUGACAAGCAGUCAUGUUGACUGUAACACGUGUCUCUGAUUAAAGGGGCAAUCCUUAGUUGCUAGGGCAACAUACAUUUUUGGACAUAGAAAUGAAUGAUAUCUGCCCAUUGAUUCUUGAAGAAUAUAACAUAUAAAUGCAUAUCAAUGCCUAAUGAGCUUAGUUCAACUGUCAUAGUCCAUCAGAACCCAAAAUAUAAGCUUGUUUUACUCCAAUGUUUGUAAAUAUAAAUGUAAACAAACAGGGCCAAUUGCAACCACUGAUGGCCACUAGAUUAUCGCCAGCCGAUCUCUCGUUAAACCAAAAUUUAUGUUGCUGUAGCAAAUAAGGAUUGACCCUUUAAUCAGACUAAGAGAUUGGAGAAUGAGUCUGCUUGUGACUGUGUAUCUAACCAGAGGGUGAAAUUGAGAGGUGGCACCACAGGUUCCAAAGUGGUGUGGCACUGGUCAGGUAAAACUCUGGGCCCUAUUCGUAGGCUAUGAUAAAAUAUUAUUAUUAUAGAUAGAACAGAUGAAAAGGGAAGCUAUGAAUAGGGCUGGAGUUUUUCUUGUCAAGACAUGUGAAUUGGAAACACUCCUGGCCUAAGGUGAAUCAAACCCUUUCAAACUCCUACAAACCUUGUUAUUGUUCAUUCUGAAGCCUUUAUGUAUGGCAGAGUUACAUUUAGCACUAUACUCAGUAUAAUUUGUAACAAGCCAGGGUUACAUUUAAUAUUAUACACAGUAAAAUUUGUAACAAUGUUUUUUUUAAUGUGUAAGUCAUAAAACCACUAACUUUGUGUCAUUGUCCUGGUCUCCAUCUGGGCUACCAGAGGUUGGAUCCCUGCUUCUCACUGUUGGAACUGAUUGCCUGUAAAAUCCAUAUUGUCAAUCAUUAAAUCAACUACUUUAAACAUUUUUAUUGAAAAUUAUAUUCCCC